rnacentral:lncRNA from 1 species
AAAGCACCUGUUGUAUUGCUUGGUAUCCAAUACUUAAUAAAUGUUAUUUUCCUUUUCUUUCCCUCUCCCUUUUCAUCAUUUUCUUGUUCUCCACAGUUUUCUGAAAGAAAAGAUCAGUAAGAUCAGUUAUGGGCUAUGAUGAAACCAUUUUAAGUCUCUGUUCUUUGCCAAGCUCCAAGGUCCAUGAAAUCUGAUGGUGUAGGAAAUGCUCAUCCAG